rnacentral:rRNA from 1 species
AAGACCUUGCGCUUUUGGAGCGGCCGAUGCCUGAUUAGCUUGUUGGUAAGGUAAAAGCUUACCAAGGCUUCGAUCAGUAGCUGGUCUGGGAGGACGGCCAGCCACACUGGGACUGAGACACGGCCCAGACUCUUACGGGAGGCAGCAGUGGGGAAUUUUGGACAAUGGGGGCAACCCUGAUCCAGCCAUGCCGCGUGAGUGAAGAAGGCCUUCGGGUUGUAAAGCUCUUUCAGCCGGAACGAAACGGUUACGGUUAAUACCCGUGAUUACUGACGGUACCGGAAGAAGAAGCACCGGCUAACUACGUGCCAGCAGCCGCGGUAAUACGUAGGGUGCGAGCGUUAAUCGGAAUUACUGGGCGUAAAGCGUGCGCAGGUGGUUUUGUAAGUCAGAUGUGAAAGCCCCGGGCUCAACCUGGGAACU